rnacentral:rRNA from 1 species
GAACGCUGGCGGCGUGCUUAACACAUGCAAGUCGAACGAUGAUGCCCAGCUUGCUGGGUUGAUUAGUGGCGAACGGGUGAGUAACACGUGAGUAACCUGCCCCUGACUCUGGGAUAAGCGUUGGAAACGACGUCUAAUACUGGAUAUGAUCGCCGGCCGCAUGGUCUGGUGGUGGAAAGAUUUUUUGGUUGGGGAUGGACUCGCGGCCUAUCAGCUUGUUGGUGAGGUAAUGGCUCACCAAGGCGACGACGGGUAGCCGGCCUGAGAGGGUGACCGGCCACACUGGGACUGAGACACGGCCCAGACUCCUACGGGAGGCAGCAGUGGGGAAUAUUGCACAAUGGGCGAAAGCCUGAUGCAGCAACGCCGCGUGAGGGAUGACGGCCUUCGGGUUGUAAACCUCUUUUAGUAGGGAAGAAGCGAAAGUGACGGUACCUGCAGAAAAAGCACCGGCUAACUACGUGCCAGCAGCCGCGGUAAUACGUAGGGUGCAAGCGUUGUCCGGAAUUAUUGGGCGUAAAGAGCUCGUAGGCGGUUUGUCGCGUCUGCUGUGAAAUCCCGAGGCUCAACCUCGGGCUUGCAGUGGGUACGGGCAGACUAGAGUGCGGUAGGGGAGAUUGGAAUUCCUGGUGUAGCGGUGGAAUGCGCAGAUAUCAGGAGGAACACCGAUGGCGAAGGCAGAUCUCUGGGCCGUAACUGACGCUGAGGAGCGAAAGCGUGGGGAGCGAACAGGAUUAGAUACCCUGGUAGUCCACGCCGUAAACGUUGGGCGCUAGAUGUAGGGACCUUUCC